GCGGUUUGGUAAGUUCCAGUGGUGAAAGCCCAUUCCGCUCCAACGGUGGAACGGCCAUUGAUACUGCUAAACUUGAAUUAUUAGGAAGUAACUAGAAUAUGUAGUGUAGCGGUGAAAUGCUUAGAGAUUACAUGGAAUACCAAUUGCGAAGGCAGGUUACUACUAAUGGAUUGACGCUGAUGGACGAAAGCGUGGGUAGCGAACAGGAUUAGAUACCCUGGUAGUCCACGCCGUAAACGAUGGAUACUAGCUGUUGGGAGCAAUCUCAGUGGCUAAGCGAAAGUGAUAAGUAUCCCACCUGGGGAGUACGUUCGCAAGAAUGAAACUCAAG
rnacentral:rRNA from 1 species